AGGUGAUGAUCCCAUCUACCCUUCUGCCUGUCCGUCCCCCUCCUUCUUGCUAUACAUCCAUCCGUCUGCCUGUCCAUCAAUCCGUCUGUCAAUCCAUCCAUCUGUCAAAUGUCAGACUGUCUGUCUGUCCAUUCAUGCAUCAUCCGUCUGUCUUGUCCAUCAAAUGUAAGGCUGUCUGUCUGUCCAUCAUCUGUCUUUCUUGUCCAUCUGUUUGUAAUCUGCGCAUGUCUGUUUUUUGUGUAUAUCACCUCGUUCUUAUCUAGGCGUGUUAAUCUGUGUUCAUAUCUGUAUUUUGUGUGCAUCAUGUAGUCUAUCUUAUUUUGUAGGUGUUUUGAUCACUUAGUGUCUUAUUUUGUAGGUGUGUUGGUCACUUAGUGUCUUAUUUUGUAGGUGUGUUUAUCACUUAGUGUCUUAUUUUGUAGGUGUGUUGGUCACUUAAUGUCUUAUUUUGUAGGUGUGCCGGCCACUUAGUGUUAUAUUUUCUAGGUGUGUCGACCACUUAGUGUCUUAUUUUGUAGGUGUGUCAGUCACUUAGUGUCUUAUUUUGUAGGUGUUUUGAUCACUCAAUGUCUUAUUUUGUAGGUGUGCCGGUCACUUAGUGUCUUAUUUUGUAGGUGUGUCGACCACUAAGUGUCUUAUUUUGCAGGUGUGCCGGUCACUCAGUGUCUUAUUUUGUAGGUGUUUUGAUCACUUAGUGUCUUAUUUUGUAGGUGUAUAGAUCACUUAGUGUCUUAUUUUGUAGGUGUGUCGAUCACUUAGUGUCUUAUUUUGUAGGUGUGUCGAUCACUUAGUGUCUUAUUUUGUAGGUGUGUCGAUCACUUAGUGUCUUAUUUUGUAGGUGUGUCGAUCACUCAGUGUCUUAUUUUGUAGGUGUGUUGAUCACUUAGUGUCUUAUUUUGUAGGUGUGUCGAUCACUUAGUGUCUUAUUUUGUAGGUGUGUCGAUCACUUAGUGUCUUAUUUUGUAGGUGUGUCGAUCACUCAGUGUCUUAUUUUGUAGGUGUGUUGAUCACUUAGUGUCUUAUUUUAUAGGUGUGUCUAUUACUUAGUGUCUUAUUUUGUAGGUGUGUGGGUCAUUUAGUGUCUUUUUUUGUAGGUGUUUUGAUCACUUAGUGUUAUAUUUUGUAGGUGUGUCGAUCACUUAGUGUCUUAUUUUGUAGGUAUGCUGGUCACUUAAUGUCUUAUUUUAUAG